rnacentral:rRNA from 1 species
ACGUAGGGUGCGAGCGUUAAUCGGAAUUACUGGGCGUAAAGCGUGCGCAGGCGGUUUUGUAAGACAGGUGUGAAAUCCCCGGACUUAACCUGGGAACUGCAUCCGAUACUGGAUGGCUUGAAUUCGGGAGAGGGAUGCAGAAUUCCAGGUGUAGCGGUGAAAUGCGUAGAUAUCUGGAGGAAUACCGGUGGCGAAGGCGGCAUCCUGGACCGACAUUGACGCUGAACGGCGAAAGCUAGGGGAGCAAACGGGA